rnacentral:rRNA from 1 species
GACGAACGCUGGCGGCGUGCCUAAUACAUGCAAGUAGAACGCUGAAGGAAGGAGCUUGCUCUUUCUGGAUGAGUUGCGAACGGGUGAGUAACGCGUAGGUAACCUGCCUGUUAGCGGGGGAUAACUAUUGGAAACGAUAGCUAAUACCGCAUAAUAUUGAUUAUUGCAUGAUAGUCAAUUAAAAGGUGCAACUGCACCACUACCUGAUGGACCUGCGUUGUCUUAGCUAGUUGGUGGGGUAACGGCUCACCAAGGCGACGAUACAUAGCCGACCUGAGAGGGUGAUCGGCCACACUGGGACUGAGACACGGCCCCGACUCCUACGGGAGGCAGCAGUAGGGAAUCUUCGGCAAUGGACGGAAGUCUGACCGAGGAACGCCGGGUGAGUGAAGAAGGGUUUCGGAUCGUAAAGCUCUGUUGUAAGAGAAGAACGAGUGUGAGAGUGGAAAGUUCACGCUGUGACGGUAUCUUACCAGAAAGGGACGGCUAACUACGUG